GGGCCCGCACAAGCAGCGGAGCAUGUGGUUUAAUUCGAAGCAACGCGAAGAACCUUACCAGGGCUUGACAUCCCCCUGACCGGUACAGAGAUGUACCUUUUCUUCGGAACAGGGGAGACAGGUGGUGCAUGGUUGUCGUCAGCUCGUGUCGUGAGAUGUUGGGUUAAGUCCCGCAACGAGCGCAACCCCUAUCUUCAGUUGCCAGCAGGUAAAGCUGGGGACUCUGGAGAGACCGCCGGGGACAACUCGGAGGAAGGUGGGGACGACGUCAAAUCAUCAUGCCCCUUAUGUCCUGGGCUACACACGUGCUACAAUGGCCUGAAACAAAGGGAAGCGAAGGCGUAAGUCGGAGCAAAACCCAUAAACCAGGUCCCAGUUCGGAUUGUGGGCUGCAACCCGCCCACAUGAAGUCGGAGUUGCUAGUAAUCGCGAAUCAGCAUGUCGCGGUGAAUACGUUCCCGGGCCUU
rnacentral:rRNA from 1 species